rnacentral:rRNA from 1 species
GCUUGUCUCAAAGAUUAAGCCAUGCAUGUAUAUGUAUAAACGCAUUAAGCGUGAAACCGCGAACGGCUCAUUACAACAGCUAUAAUUUACUCGAUCUUGACCACCCUACUUGGAUAACUGUGGUAAUUCUAGAGCUAAUACAUGCACCACGGCUUCGACCGUAAGGAAGGAGCGCAUUUAUUAGAACAAAACCAUACAGCUUCGGCUGUCCAAUGUUGACUCAGAAUAACUAAGCUGAUCGCAUGGUCUUGCACCGGCGACGUGUCUUUCAAGUAUCUGCUUUAUCAACUUUCGAUGGUAGUGUCUCUGACUACCAUGGUGAUGACGGAUAACGGAGGAUCAGGGUUCGACUCCGGAGAAGGGGCCUGAGAAAUGGCCACUACGUCUAAGGAUGGCAGCAGGCGCGCAAAUUACCCACUCUCAGCAUCUGGAGGAGGUAGUGACGAGAAAUAACAAGACUGUUCUCUUCAGAGGCCGGUCAUUGGAAUGGGUACAAUCUAAACCCUUUAACGAGUAUCUAUGAGAGGGCAAGUCUGGUGCCAGCAGCCGCGGUAAUUCCAGCUCUCAAAAUGCAUAGAAUUAUUGCUGCGGUUAAAAAGCUCGUAGUUGGAUCUCUGUUCGCGUGCCGGUCCAUCCUCGCGGAUGUGCACUGGUGGCGUGGACUUUUCUGCAGUGCUCGACACACUGUCCCUCACGGGAUGGCGCUGUCCGAUGCUGCGAGUUUACUUUGAACAAAUCAGAGUGCUCUAAACAGGCGUUUCGCUUGAAUGAUUGUGCAUGGAAUAAUAGAAGAGGAUUUCGGUCCAAUUUUAUUGGUUUUAUUGGCUGAGAUAAUGGUUAACAGAGACGAACGGGGGCAUUCGUAUUGUCGUGUGAGAGGUGAAAUUCUUGGACC